rnacentral:rRNA from 1 species
UACGUAGGUGGCGAGCGUUGUCCGGAUUUAUUGGGCGUAAAGCGCCCGCAGGCGGCCUGUUAAGUUCAAGGUGAAAUCUCCCGGCUCAACUGGGAGGGUGCCUCGAAAACUGGCAGGCUUGAGGCAGGGAGAGGGAUGCAGAAUUCCUGGUGUAGCGGUGAAAUGCGUAGAUAUCAGGAGGAAUACCAGUGGCGAAGGCGGCAUCCUGGCCCUGUCCUGACGCUCAGGGGCGAAAGCGUGGGGAGCAAACCGG